UACGUAGGGGGCAAGCGUUGUCCGGAAUCAUUGGGCGUAAAGCGCGUGUAGGCGGCUGAGUAAGUCUGCUCUGAAAACCCGGGGCUCAACCCCGGGAGGCGGGUGGAUACUGCUCAGCUCGAGUCCGGAAGAGGAGUGUGGAAUUCCUGGUGUAGCGGUGAAAUGCGCAGAUAUCAGGAGGAACACCAAUAGCGAAGGCAGCUCGCUGGGACGGUACUGACGCUAAGGCGCGAAAGCGUGGGGAGCGAACAGG
rnacentral:rRNA from 1 species